CGGCCGCCGCGGGAGAGGAGGGGCAACGCGGGGAGCGCAAGCUGCUGAGCGCUCGGAGCCUGGCGCCGUUGUGCCACCGCCCGCUCCCGGGGAACCUGAGCGCGGAGCCGAGGCGCGAGGGCGUACAAAGAGAGAUCGUCUGACCCGCACGACCUGGGGCGGUGGGAAGGGUGGUCUUUUUUCACAGACUUGUCGUUAGAGGACAGAAAGUUCCGGCGCGUCCUUCAUUCUGCGGGUCCCUGCUGCUCGGGUUGAACCGCCUCCUAUCCCCAUCGGGGAAUGGGGGAGGGUGGGUUCCCCUUCUUAGUGGGGAGAUACUGAGCUGAUUUGCACCCUUGAAUUCUUACGACCAUCUACCUCACUUCUGGGGAAAGCAACCUGAUGACUUCGUCUCUGCCUUUUUUCUUUCGCGGUGGACCUGGGACUGUAGAGAAUUCUUCUGAUGGCUUUGGGAGCCGAGACCAGUAGGUAGAGAUAGGAUUGGUGCCAUCAAGCAGUGUGUCCUUUGGAAGACUGCACACCCGCCCAGGAUUCUAAUGUAUAAACAAGGGAACACCACAGCUUGCCGCAGCUUCCCCGAGGCAAGCAAUUUCAUGUGGAGUGACAUCACAGCCUUCAUGACAGAAGUAACUACUCUGUGCCACCAAGUUGAAGAUGCUGCCAUGGUGCUAACCUGACUUCUGUGGGCAGAUGACCUCACCAGUGUGUCCUGGAACCCCACCUCCCUAGAGCCUUACCCAACUUAGGAGAAAUGGAAACAGGCUAAGGGAAUGGAUUGACCUGUCAACACCCAUGUCCAGCAGAGAAGCAGUUUUAUAGGAUCACCUUCCACCUUCUGCUCCCCAUGGGAUCUUUAACCUAUACUUCCAGAGGGAUGAUGGGGUGGGGGCUUCCAAUGGAGGGGAGGGGACGUGGAACUCUGGUGGCAGAAAUGGUGUGGAAUUGUUCUCCUCCUGUGCCACAGUCUUGUCAAUCAUUAUUAAAUAAUUAAUUAAAAAAUAAAGAUUUUCAUGCCUGAA